CCUAUGGGUGGCUGCAGUGGGGAAUAUUGGACAAUGGGCGAAAGCCUGAUCCAGCCAUGCCGCGUGUGUGAAGAAGGCCUUCGGGUUGUAAAGCACUUUCAGUGGGGAAGAAAGCCUUGGGGCUAAUACCCUCGAGGAAGGACAUCACCCACAGAAGAAGCACCGGCUAACUCCGUGCCAGCAGCCGCGGUAAUACGGAUGGUGCGAGCGUUAAUCGGAAUUACUGGGCGUAAAGCGCGCGUAGGCGGUCUGAUAAGCCGGUUGUGAAAGCCCCGGGCUCAACCUGGGAACGGCAUCCGGAACUGUCAGGCUAGAGUGCAGGAGAGGAAGGUAGAAUUCCCGGUGUAGCGGUGAAAUGCGUAGAGAUCGGGAGGAAUACCAGUGGCGAAGGCGGCCUUCUGGACUGACACUGACGCUGAGGUGCGAAAGCGUGGGUAGCAAACAGGAUUAGAUACCCUUGUAGUC
rnacentral:rRNA from 1 species